GCCGGCGUGUCGGAACUGGUAGACGAGGCAGACUCAAAAUCUGUUGGCAGCAAUGCCGUGUGGGUUCGAUUCCCACCGCCGGCA
rnacentral:tRNA from 1 species